AGAGUUUGAUCCUGGCUCAGGAUGAACGCUGGCGGCGUGCCUAACACAUGCAAGUCGAACGAAGCACCUUUUAAGAUUCUUCGGAUGAUUGAUUGGUGACUGAGUGGCGGACGGGCGAGUAACGCGUGGGUAACCUGCCCUGUACAGGGGGAUAACAGUUGGAAACGGCUGCUAAUACCGCAUAAGCGCACGAGAGGACAUCCUCUUGUGUGAAAAACUCCGGUGGUACAGGAUGGGCCCGCGUCUGAUUAGCUGGUUGGCAGGGUAACGGCCUACCAAGGCGACGAUCAGUAGCCGGUCUGAGAGGAUGAACGGCCACAUUGGAACUGAGACACGGUCCAAACUCCUACGGGAGGCAGCAGUGGGGAAUAUUGCACAAUGGGGGAAACCCUGAUGCAGCAACGCCGCGUGAGUGAAGAAGUAUUUCGGUAUGUAAAGCUCUAUCAGCAGGGAAGAUAAUGACGGUACCUGACUAAGAAGCUCCGGCUAAAUACGUGCCAGCAGCCGCGGUAAUACGUAUGGAGCAAGCGUUAUCCGGAUUUACUGGGUGUAAAGGGUGCGUAGGUGGCAGUGCAAGUCAGAUGUGAAAGGCCGGGGCUCAACCCCGGAGCUGCAUUUGAAACUGCGCGGCUAGAGUACAGGAGAGGCAGGCGGAAUUCCUAGUGUAGCGGUGAAAUGCGUAGAUAUUAGGAGGAACACCAGUGGCGAAGGCGGCCUGCUGGACUGUUACUGACACUGAGGCACGAAAGUGUGGGGAGCAAACAGGAUUAGAUACCCUGGUAGUCCACACCGUAAACGAUGAAUACUAGGUGUGCGGGGACUGACCCCCUGCGUGCCGCAGUAAACACAAUAAGUAUUCCACCUGGGGAGUACGAUCGCAAGGUUGAAACUCAAAGGAAUUGACGGGGGCCCGCACAAGCGGUGGAUAUGUGGUUUAAUUCGAAGCAACGCGAAGAACCUUACCAGGGUUUGACAUCCUGCUAACGAAGUAGAGAUACAUUAGGUGCCCUUCGGGGAAAGCAGAGACAGGUGGUGCAUGGUUGUCGUCAGCUCGUGUCGUGAGAUGUUGGGUUAAGUCCCGCAACGAGCGCAACCCCUAUUGUUAGUUGCUACGCAAGAGCACUCUAGCGAGACUGCCGUUGACAAAACGGAGGAGGGUGGGGACGACGUCAAAUCAUCAUGCCCCUUAUAUCCUGGGCUACCCACGUAAUACAAUGGCGGUCAACAGAGGGAAGCAAGGCCGCGAGGCAGAGCAAACCCCCAAAAGCCGUCCCAGUUCGGAUUGUAGGCUGCAACUCGCCUGCAUGAAGUCGGAAUCGCUAGUAAUCGCGGAUCAGCAUGCCGCGGUGAAUACGUUCCCGGGCCUUGUACACACCGCCCGUCACACCAUGAGAGUCGGGAACACCCGAAGUCCGUAGCCUAACCUGAAAAGGAGGGCGCGGCCGAAGGUGGGUUCGAUAAUUGGGGUGAAGUCGUAACAAGGUA
rnacentral:rRNA from 1 species